rnacentral:rRNA from 1 species
UACGGAGGGGGCUAGCGUUGUUCGGAAUUACUGGGCGUAAAGCGCACGUAGGCGGCUUUGCAAGUUAGAGGUGAAAGCCCGGGGCUCAACUCCGGAAUUGCCUUUAAAACUGCAUCGCUAGAAUUGUGGAGAGGUAAGUGGAAUUCCGAGUGUAGAGGUGAAAUUCGUAGAUAUUCGGAAGAACACCAGUGGCGAAGGCGACUUACUGGACACAUAUUGACGCUGAGGUGCGAAAGCGGUGGGGAGCAAACAGG